rnacentral:rRNA from 1 species
UACAGAGGUCCCAAGCGUUGUUCGGAUUUACUGGGCGUAAAGGGCGCGUAGGCGGUGCGGUAAGUCUGUAGUGAAAUCUCUGGGCUCAACCCAGAGUCUGCUGCAGAAACUGCCGUGCUUGAGUGUGGGAGAGGUGAGUGGAAUUCCCGGUGUAGCAGUGAAAUGCGUAGAGAUCGGGAGGAACAUCUGUGGCGAAAGCGGCUCACUGGACCAUAACUGACGCUGAUGCACGAAAGCUAGGGGAGCAAACAGG